UUGCUAAGCCCCCAUUGCUGCGUCCAGAGCUUAGCGCCGUACAGGACAAAUGUGAUUGGUUUAAAGAAAUGGAAACAACCCAGAGCUUUUUUUCCUCCUAUCCUAGAAUCCAUCUGUGGUAUAGCCAGAC